rnacentral:rRNA from 4 species
UACAACGUUGAUAGGUCAGGUGUGUAAGUGCUGCGAGGCAUUGAGCUAACUGAUACUAAUUGCCCGUGAGGCUUAACCAUACAACACCCAAGGGGUUU